rnacentral:rRNA from 1 species
UGGGAAUAUUGCACAAUGGGGGGAAACCCGUACGAUGCAGCGACGCCGCGUGAGUGAAGAAGUAUUUCGGUAUGUAAAGCUCUAUCAGCAGGGAAGAAAAUAGACGGUACCUGACUAAGAAGCCCCGGCUAACUACGUGCCAGCAGCCGCGGUAAUACGUAGGGGGCGAAGCGUUAUCCGGAUUUACUGGGUGUAAAGGGAGCGUAGACGGCGGUGCAAGUCUGAUGUGAAAGCCCGGGGCUCAACCCUGGAACUGCAUUGGAAACUGUACUGCUAGAGUGCAGGAGAGGUAAGCGGAAUUCCUAGUGUAGCGGUGAAAUGCGUAGAUAUUAGGAGGAACACCAGUGGCGAAGGCGGCUUACUGGACUGUAACUGACGUUGAGGCUCGAAAGCGUGGGGAGCAAACAGGAUUAGAUACCCUGGUAGU